UGGUUGCCUGACUUGAGCGAAGCCCUCCAGCUCUGCACCCUCAGAAUGAGUGCUGUACCCCAGGGUUUUGGCCACAUCUACCAUUCUUCAGCCCUCAUCUUUUAGGAAGUACUUCAGUCUGUUGAUAAAUUCCUCAUCUGGGCUAUGGGGUUUCACCACUUCCCAGGGAUUCAGCCCCUGUUUCCCACGGCUUCCCCAAUCAUUUGAUGGAGGGGUUUCUUUAGGCCCAGCUUCCCCCAGCUCAUCCUGUCCCUGCUGACCUCCGCUUGCUGUGGGCUCCUCCUCAAAGUCCUAGGACUCUGCUGUGUGUCCUGGAGGUGCCUGUGGUGAAAAGGCCAGAGAUAGAGUCAUGUACGGAUGUGAGAGCUGGACCAUAAAGAAGGCUGAGCACCAAAUAAUUGAUUCUUUCAAACUGUGGUGUGGAGAAGCCUCUUGAGAGUCCUUUGCACUGCAAGAUAAAACCAGUCAAUCCUAAAGGAAAUCAACCCUGAAUAUUCAUUGGAAGGACUGAUGCUGAAGCUUCAAUACUUUGGCCACCUGAUGCAAAGGGCCAACUGAUUGGAAAGGACCGUUAUGCUGGGAAAGAUUGAGGGCAGUAGAAGAAGGGGGCAACAGAGGAUAAGAUGGUUGGAUGGCAUCACCAACUCAAUAGACAUGAGUUUGAGCAAACUCUGGGGGAUAGUGAAGGACAGGGCAGUCUGGCAUGCUGCAGUUCAUGGGGUUACAAAGAGUCAGACACAACCUAGGACUGAACAACAACAAACAGUGUAGUGUUAUCAAUCAUAAUUCUAGUUAUCUUUUUAAAUGUUGCACGCCACAGAAACAACCAAAUUUCCUUGUCAGUUGCAUUAUUUUUGUGUUGAACUCUCAUCAGAUCUUUAACUAUGGCAUUUUAAAUCUUUUCUCUUGCACUUAUGCUUCCCCAAAAGCGCUUGCAAUCACCUACAGGCCACAAUGCUUUAUCUUCAAUAAAAAGGGACUGUCUCAGACCCUCAGGUAAAGGACUUUGCCAAAUGUUCUGAGGCACAAGUUUCUGAUG
ensembl:lncRNA